GACGAACGCUGGCGGCGUGCCUAACACAUGCAAGUCGAGCGAAGUACUUAUCAAGAAGCCUUCGGGCAGAUUGAUAAGCUACUUAGCGGCGGAUGGGUGAGUAACGCGUGAGGAACCUGCCUUCCACAAGGGGAUAGCCUCGGGAAACCGGGAUUAAUACCCUAUGAUACUUAAAGUCCGCAUGGAUUUUAAGUUAAAGCGAUAGCGGUGGAAGAUGGUCUCGCGUCCCAUUAGCUAGUUGGUGAGGUAACGGCUCACCAAGGCUACGAUGGGUAGCCGGCUUGAGAGAGUGACCGGCCACACUGGAACUGAGACACGGUCCAGACUCCUACGGGAGGCAGCAGUGGGGAAUAUUGCACAAUGGAGGAAACUCUGAUGCAGCGACGCCGCGUGAGCGAUGAAGGCCUUCGGGUCGUAAAGCUCUGUCCUAUGGGACGAUAAUGACGGUACCAUAGGAGGAAGCCCCGGCUAACUACGUG
rnacentral:rRNA from 1 species